CAGAUUUCUGCAGACAACGUGACGGCGUCUGACGAUGUUCAGGGGAUCUGGAUGAUGAAACGUUCUCAGAACACAACGGUGGAUGCAAAGAAACUGGAGAAGGCCGAGGCGAAGCUGAAAGCCAAACACGACCGCAGGAACGAGAAGGACUCUCAGAAGACCUCCAGUCCACUGUCAGU